rnacentral:rRNA from 2 species
CGAACUCUGGUAUUGAUUGGUGCUUGCAUCAUGAUUUACAUUUGAGUGAGUGGCGAACUGGUGAGUAACACGUGGGAAACCUGCCCAGAAGCGGGGGAUAACACCUGGAAACAGAUGCUAAUACCGCAUAACAACUUGGACCGCAUGGUCCGAGUUUGAAAGAUGGCUUCGGCUAUCACUUUUGGAUGGUCCCGCGGCGUAUUAGCUAGAUGGUGGGGUAACGGCUCACCAUGGCAAUGAUACGUAGCCGACCUGAGAGGGUAAUCGGCCACAUUGGGACUGAGACACGGCCCAAACUCCUACGGGAGGCAGCAGUAGGGAAUCUUCCACAAUGGACGAAAGUCUGAUGGAGCAACGCCGCGUGAGUGAAGAAGGGUUUCGGCUCGUAAAACUCUGUUGUUAAAGAAGAACAUAUCUGAGAGUAACUGUUCAGGUAUUGACGGUAUUUAACCAGAAAGCCACGGCUAACUACGUGCCAGCAGCCGCGGUAAUACGUAGGUGGCAAGCGUUGUCCGGAUUUAUUGGGCGUAAAGCGAGCGCAGGCGGUUUUUUAAGUCUGAUGUGAAAGCCUUCGGCUCAACCGAAGAAGUGCAUCGGAAACUGGGAAACUUGAGUGCAGAAGAGGACAGUGGAACUCCAUGUGUAGCGGUGAAAUGCGUAGAUAUAUGGAAGAACACCAGUGGCGAAGGCGGCUGUCUGGUCUGUAACUGACGCUGAGGCUCGAAAGUAUGGGUAGCAAACAGGAUUAGAUACCCUGGUAGUCCAUACCGUAAACGAUGAAUGCUAAGUGUUGGAGGGUUUCCGCCCUUCAGUGCUGCAGCUAACGCAUUAAGCAUUCCGCCUGGGGAGUACGGCCGCAAGGCUGAAACUCAAAGGAAUUGACGGGGGCCCGCACAAGCGGUGGAGCAUGUGGUUUAAUUCGAAGCUACGCGAAGAACCUUACCAGGUCUUGACAUACUAUGCAAAUCUAAGAGAUUAGACGUUCCCUUCGGGGACAUGGAUACAGGUGGUGCAUGGUUGUCGUCAGCUCGUGUCGUGAGAUGUUGGGUUAAGUCCCGCAACGAGCGCAACCCUUAUUAUCAGUUGCCAGCAUUAAGUUGGGCACUCUGGUGAGACUGCCGGUGACAAACCGGAGGAAGGUGGGGAUGACGUCAAAUCAUCAUGCCCCUUAUGACCUGGGCUACACACGUGCUACAAUGGAUGGUACAACGAGUUGCGAACUCGCGAGAGUAAGCUAAUCUCUUAAAGCCAUUCUCAGUUCGGAUUGUAGGCUGCAACUCGCCUACAUGAAGUCGGAAUCGCUAGUAAUCGCGGAUCAGCAUGCCGCGGUGAAUACGUUCCCGGGCCUUGUACACACCGCCCGUCACACCAUGAGAGUUUGUAA